ensembl:lincRNA Gm28386 predicted gene 28386
GGCUUCCCAGCAGUGAUGGGUCUGUGCCCCCACGAGAGGCCCCGGACCUUGUCUCGAUCCUUGGGGAUCGAUCCCUUGGACGGCAGAGGGAACUUCGAGAGACUCCGAAAGGACGGUGGGGAAGGCCAGAAAACGUUGGCAUUCCCCGCCCGGCCCCAAGUCCGGAGGUGUGCGAGGGAGAAAAGACUCCUGUUGAGAUGAAAUAAGUCUGAAGUUGACCUGCACCUUGGCUCUUGCCCCUUGCCGAGGUCGUCGGGUCUCUGUACUGUCCACCCCAGCUAAGGUCGGGCGCUCUCUGCUGCACGCAGCCACCCUCACUGCCAGGUUUUGUGUCUUUAUGGCGUUCCUCCGUGGGAAAUGCUUUGGGCUGGGGGACUUUCGUAGCUUGAUAAUUCCUUUCCUUCUUAGUUACCUAGCCAGGGGGACCCAAUCAUCUCCCCAGCAGCAGAGCGCGGUCACUUGUCCCCAAUCUUCCUAACGUUUGGAAGUGAUCCCUGGCCAGGUCCGGGUGUUCACAUCGACCGAGCCCACUACGGGACUAUGAAGGGAGAAAUCACCUCGCGACAGCCCUAGCUACCGGGAACUCACUGUGCUUUCCAGGGAGUGUCCCUGGAACCACUUCUAGCCAUUCCUGGACACUUAGGUGUAGAAGGGGAAGGUUGUAAGAAUGCGAGCACCUGCUGCACAGAAGGGACAGACAGAGGGUCGCAAGCUGCCUGGAGCAGCUACUGUGGCUCUGAACUCCGAAGUCUCCCCGGUACUGAUGGGGACAGUCUCCCAGGGGACCAAAAUGAGAGGCUCUACCCGCAGAAACUUGUCCCACAACCCCGCGUUGUUCUGGGUGCCAACCAUCGACUUCCCAGGGACGCAGACACCAUCCGGUCCUCCGAUGCUCAGGCCACCGGGGAAGCCAAUUUGAGCGCCAACCGCAGCUCAGCUAGCUACCAAGGGACCCGCCCCAGUUGAAACUGGGUGGCUGGUCCCCAGGCGUUUGAAGGGGUGGGAUUCCAAAAGAUCCACCUUCCGUGCUCGCCUCAAGCUGCCCCUCCUUUGGCUCCCUCCCGGGCCAGAUUUUCCUCCUCCAAGUCUGGGUCUCAGCCUGAGUGGAGCUUGAGUGGAGGCACUUUGCAAACAGCAGGGGCAGAGUAUCUACGUGAACCAACCGCGCCACCUGCCGGCCAGAUGCGGGAGCGCGCGGACCCGGAGCAAAGCAGAACGGACAAAGACCUCACUCAGCCAGCCAGGCAGGUUGUCCAAGCCCGGCUAGUAAUUUAUUUACAGAUUUGGUCAGGUCCUCCCAUACUACGGUACGUAAAGUCCUGUCUCAGCUUCUUCCACCUAGACUACGAAAGAAGAACUCGGAAAACGUUUCAUGGAGGAACUUCACAUGCAAAGGAUUUCAUGAGUAGCUUGUCCCCUAAAAUGGGAAUAUGGAGUUAAAAAAAUCCAAGCAUCACCGCAAGGUGUGGAGCAGGUAGAAAUCCGAGCGUGGCUCCAGGCGCUUUCUGGUUGUUGUUGUCAUGGAGAACGAUCGCGUUUCCCGUCCAGGGCUGGAGAACUGUGCUUGCAAAUUCAGACCCGGACUAAUCACACCAGCAACUUUUGCAGAAGGCAAGAGUGCGCCGGUGGGCAGUAGCUGAGUCGGUUGUCCAGAGGGACAGCGGCUAAGGCUCCUGGCAUUUUGACUCUGCGGUUUGGAAAAACCUAUUGGAAUGUCACCCACAGGGGAAGUGGAUUUCCGUUAUUGAAGCUACUGAUUUUACAUCAGUGAAGCGCGCGGGGGGGAGGGGGGAUUAUGCACGCAGGAAUAUAAGUGUGUGCAUAAAUUAUUAAAAAUAACCGCGCUAAGUCCCCUU